AAAAACCUUUGCUCAAACGUCAAAAAAGAAGCAAUGCCCAGCUGCAAUAUUCAUCACUCAAAUUGCAAAAUUUCCAAAUAUGAAGAUUGAAAAAGACAGCUUAUUCUUCAGACGAAGAGCAGCAAAGAUAUUGCACGAAGGGUUGACGGCAAGCACAAUCGCAGCUGCCGACGUUCAAAUGAAUUAUAUCGUGAAGUUACCACCUGUAUCUGAACAUAAAUAUCACAUAAUGGGAAAGGCUGCUGGAAUAAGAGAGCCACUGGACCCGGUUAUAGUGGAAAAACUUUCAGAGCUAGCCCAAGAAGGUGUCCACUCAGUAAGUGAGGCACG